GUAUUCCUACGGGGGGCAGCAGUGGGGAAUAUUGCACAAUGGGGGAAACCCUGAUGCAGCGACGCCGCGUGAGUGAAGAAGUAUUUCGGUACGUAAAGCUCUAUCAGCAGGGAAGAAAGAAAGUCCUUUGGACUUUGGACGGUACCUGACCAAGAAGCCCCGGCUAACUACGUGCCAGCAGCCGCGGUAAUACGUAGGGGGCAAGCGUUAUCCGGAUUUACUGGGUGUAAAGGGAGCGUAGACGGCGCGGCAAGUCUGAAGUGAAAGGCAGGGGCUUAACCCCUGAACUGCUUUGGAAACUGCCA
rnacentral:rRNA from 1 species